rnacentral:lncRNA from 1 species
GCCAUUCGAGAAGUUUUCCGCCCCAAGUUCAGAAGUACUCUGGUGUCAUUGUCACGAUGACACACUUCUCAUUUGGAGUAACUGGAGAGUGCCCUACGAAGCAUGAUGGUCAUAGGUAUUAUAAUUUUUCACUAGUUCAUAGCUUUUUUGUUUUGUUUUAUAACCUUCACAAGGUAUUUAGUUUACGCGAUUCUUAGGCCAAGAUGGUCAAGCUAGUUAGAAGUCCCUAUCUUUAAGCUGUUUUGAGGAAAUUGAAGCUUGGCAAUGAAAAGUUGUGGAAGCUUUGGAGCU